UCUCCGUAGGUGAACCUGCGGAAGGAUCAUUAUUGUAUAACCGAGGUGCGAGGGCUGUCGCUGACCCGAAAGGUCGUGCACGCCCGAGUGCCCUCACACACAUCCAUCUCACCCCUAUGUGCACCACCGCGUGGGUCCCCCUUUGGCUUGUUCGGAGGGGGGCUUACGUCUUCACAUAAACUUUGUAUGCAGUGUAGAAUGUAUUUUUUGUUUUUGCGAUCACGCAAUCAAUACAACUUUCAACAACGGAUCUCUUGGCUCUC
rnacentral:misc_RNA from 1 species